UUUUUUCAAAAUUAUAGACACAAAACUCAACACGGUCAUCACUUAUAACACAGGCUGUCCAAUGUUCAAAACAUUGCAUUGUGCAUUCAUAUCUUUAAAU